UCAAGGUUAAGGAUACUUUCAUUUUACUCUAGUAACACCUUCACUACUCUUCAUUAUACCCGUCCCCAGAUUCUUCAAUUUCCUAAAUCAAUACCUUCACUGCUUCUCAAGUGACUUGAAAGUAGGGAGAUUUUGUGUGUUUGAUCAAAUGAGUCUAGAGAUGAACCUACUAGCAGAUUUUUAUGUUUCAUCUUUUUCGUUGCUUGACUUUUCUAUUAAAAUGUCAAGAGUCGGGUUUUUAACUCACUCUAUUCUUGUCGGUCUCAUUCUUCGUCAUAACAAUUAGCCCAAUAUGUACCUAUAAAAUAAAAUACCCUUAAAAAUAUUUGAUAUAUCAUGUUCACAUUAUUCAUAUAUAUCUAAAACAUAACCCACAUUAAGCCACUGACCCAUAGUCUACUAAAGAGAUAAAUCAUAAAUGAAAGCCUUCAAGUCAGCCAUACAUACACAUUUGUGUAAUCAAAAAUAAAAAUAUGCAAAUAAAUGCAAAAAAACCACCAUUAACACUUUACCCACCAUUAUCAUAAAUGAAGCCUAAUAUAAAACUGUUUGAGGGUGGGAAAGGACGAUGGCCGCCUCCUUCGGGUCUGGCUUCGUUUGGGGGGCUAAGCCGGAUCUUUUUUUCGUUUUUCUUUUUGCUUUUGAGAAAGGAGUAAUGGUUGUUGAGAAUGUAGAAAAUAGAUGAAAAGGUUUUUUUUCCCCGGGUGAGAGUGAUGGGGGAGAUCUGAUGGGUAAUUCCUUUUCCCUCCUUUUUUGGGCUCCGAGAGCAGGGUGAGAUCUCGAGAGGGUGUGGCGUUGUUCUUACGAGUUGCCCGCCCCGGCAAUAAUGAAGAAUAUAGGGAAGAGAGGGGCUCGCGUUCUGGGAGAGGUUUCUCCCGAUUAGGUGGAGGGAGAGAGGAUGAGAGUGUCUGGUGAAGGGGUACCAUUUGGGUGGUUGAGUUCGCGAAAAAAAGGUUAGAUGAGAGAUCAUUAUAGGAAGCUGUGGGGAUGGCGCGAGUUCAGAUCUGAUUUAUGAGUUAGAAAGGGUUUUACUUCGGAAGUAGACGAUGGCAGGGGGCACGCGGGUCGGCAGAGGAAAGUGGUACGGGGAUUGGUCUAUGGUCUCGGGCCCUCAGUCUGUGUUUGUGCGUCAGGAUUGUGUUUGUUGUGUUGUGAAGUGCAAACUUGGCAAGUUUAACUUGCGUGUGGUGUGGGGUAUAAGAGGUGUGAAGGCUGGCAAUGUAUAACCCAUUUUAUUUUUGGGUUAUAAUGAAAGAUUUAUACUUUUGGAUACAAUUAAGAAGAUAUUUAAGUUUAAUAAGGUAAUAUAAUUAUGUAAAAGAUGGAGGGACGAAAGUGUAAUUUUGUAGAUAGUGGACAGAUCUCAAGGAGGUGUCGGUGGAAAAGAAAAGAAAAAGAAAAAAAAAAACAUGAAAAAAGAAAAAGAGAGAAAGAAAAAAAAAGAUGUGAUGAUGAUGUGUUGAAAUGAUUUGGUUUAUGUUGGGUUCUUGAUAUGUGUAAUUAAAGAGGGAGAGAAGAGUGAGGAAAGAAUGAGGCCCCCGUGAUUGCUCGAGAGACGAGAGCACGGAGAGGAAUGAAGGAGAGGAGAGGACAGAAAGAAAGAAAGGAAAGAAAAAAAGAGAGAGAGAGCAUGAUGUGCAAAAAGGAAUGAGAGAUGGGAGAAAUUAUUUGGUGUGGGUAGUCUUUGAUAAUGAAAGACAUGGAGUAUAGAUCAACGGUGAGGAUAUGUCAGAUCAGGUGGGAAACAAAUUUUAGUAUGAGAUCAUGGGAGCAGAUCUUCCUAUCUAAUGGUGUUAAUUCAUUUGAGGUAAGCAUGAGGUAUACAAUAUGUUUUCUAAACUCGGAGUAUUUUUCUAAAAAUCUGAUUUGGUAUUCCUCUGCCAUGUGUGCUAUUGUUGAAAAUACGUGGAUUUUGUUGGCAUCGUGAUAUGUAUGAUGGUUAUGUGUGAUGGCUAAAUGCUAGGAAUGGAAUGUACAUGUACGAGUUGGACGCCAAUAGUUCCACUAAGGACCGGAAAAAGCCGGAGAGUUUGGAGACGUGGCUGAGGCCGAUAACUAGUAAUGUAUCAGGAAAGACUUGGUAUGAAGCGGUCUUUUGAUGACUAUUGAUUUGUUGUGCUACUCUGACAUUGUUGUUGGAGCCAUUAUUGAUUUCGUUAGAAUAUUUCUGUCGUAUUGUAUACUUCCCUGUUAAAAAUAAGUUUUCAGGAGGACGUGGGUGUUCGGAUAGAAGAUUUUUGAUCUUUUUGUAUUUGUAUUAAUUAUAUUUGGAGACAUGUAAAAAUAAACAUUUGGAGACUAUUAAUAUUGAAGAAAAUAGUGCUCUUGAUGUAUUGAGGGAAAAAAUACGGGAAUUGAGGUAAUAAUUAACGGCCCGGGAGGGUGGGUCGGUCAACAGGUGCCCAGGCAAACUCCGAAAUGACAAAGCAUUGCUGGAAAUUUGAUAAAUUUACACCAAUAGCCCUUGUAGUUUGACCCCAAAUUUUAAUUUUGAAUAAUAAAAAACCCUAAGAUUAAAAAAAAGUGGGGUGGCGUGGGGGGGGGUGGGGGGGGCAAGGAUGGGUGUGCCACUACCCAGGGGGGUUUGCCAAAGCCCAGGCGCUGGUGGUGGGCUCACCCCUGGGCCGGCCCUGAUCCUAAGACGUGGAAGGAAAAAAACCCUAACUCAGGAGAGAACAAACCUAACGAACAAAAGUAAAUCCACUAAUAAGUUUAAAUCCACUCAUACUCAUUGAGCUAGAAAAGUACAUUAUAGACUCUCUUUGGAAUGAAAAUGGACAACUGUGACCAGGGGCGGUAUCACAUGGUGGCCAGCAGGGGCUGUAGCCCCUCUCACUUUCAAAAAAUUAAAAAAUUUACUUUACAUUUUUAAAUAUUUUACACUUUAGCCCCCUAAAAUAUAUUAAAUUUUUUACACUUUAGCCCCCUAACCUAAAAUCCUGGAUCCGCCACUGACUGUGACACGGCCUGGAUUUUAUAAAAAAAUUAAAAAAUAAUAAUUCCUGUAAUAAAUAAAAAACUAGAGGAUGGUCCCACCUAGAGAAUAGAGCAAUCUCUAGAGUAGUUGGGUUCCUUUACAAAUAUUUUCACAACAAUAUCAUAAUAAGUCCUAAAACCAAGACGACCUCAGUGGUCAUUACCCAUGUCCCAACAGCAAAGCAUUCCAACAUGAUAAUAAUUAAAGCAGCCAAGUAUUUAAAAAAAAGUGUUUUUUAAGUUUACAACCAUAUCGACAUAAUUAAAGUUUUUAAUUGCAUUGCCAAAAAUAUAGGAUGAUAAAGAAAAGUAAUAUUUGAGUAACAAAAUGCUUUUGCUAAAUAUACAUCCAACAAAAUACAAAAUGGAUGUCACUUACAUCAUGCUGCCAUCUAAACAACAAUCAAUUCCUCAAGAUCCUCUAUCUGUAUCUGAAAAAUAUUUAUAACGGGAUAAAUAUAUAACUCAGUAAAAAAAUCUUCUACUACAUUUAAAUGCACGUGUGGUGGCUUGAGUAAGUGUAAUGGUACCUAUUUAUGCAUGAUGUUAUGUAACAAGAAUUAGCAUAACAAACGCCAAAAUAAAUAAUCCUCUUCUUCCAUUCCUCCAUUUAGAGUAAUACCACAACAGUGAUCGAAUAAUAUAAAUAAUAUCCAACACAUGUUAAGAAUUUGGUAAGUACUUCAUCUGCCUCCACCCGUCAGCGAUAGACAAGUAAUUUUGCGAUUUUCAAAUCAAAGAUUGGAGGCCCUGUAUACCCCUUUGACCAAAGGCUUGGGGUGUUUGCAAAGACACGCAGGCUAUAAGCCUUGGACAGAGAUAGAGCGCUACCAGGGUCGGCAGAAACAGCAUGGCGAUACAGACAAAAAAUAACGACAAACGAUCCCUCAAAUCAAAUAAAUCACUUUCUCAUCUUGGAUAAUUUGUGUUCAUCAACAACAUUAAAAAAAAAUUAUACAUCAUAGUCAAAAUCUUUAAAUUAUGAUUUAAAAAGUUACAAAUCCUAAAAUCAGUAAAGGAGGGUUUCACUCACAUACCCACAAUCAUAAUAUUCAAGCUAAACUUACAUGUCCAUUUAACAUUUCAUUAACCAAGAAAUUUUAAUUGGCAUACUAUAAUCUCCAUGAAACUAACACAACAAUUUAAAUUUUGAUUUAAUGGGAGGUAAAAGAGUGAGUUAAAAAGAUAUGUUGAAAAUUUCUAGGAAAUAUCCUAGAAUAUUUCCUGAUUUAGUUUCAUAAUAUCUUAUUUAGUUCUGAUUGUAGCCUAGAUUGAGUCUUUGAGUUGAUUUAUUUCCUUUAUUUCAUGAUGAAAUACUAACCAUGAUGAUUGGAAUAUUACAAGAAAUUAUUCUCUCCUUUAUUCUGAUUUUCUUCUUGGUAUCAAAGUCAAAACCCUAACUCUAGCCCAAACCCAAGGCAACACUAUAGGCUUUGGUUUUCGACCACCUUCUACAGUCUCCGACUGCCCUAUGCAGCCUUCGAUAGGCCCUACAGCCCUGGUCAACCUCUCUUGCAGCUAUCGAUUGCCCAUCGACAACCCUUUGGCAGUCUUUGUGGCCUCCGACAAGUCCUAAAGCCUUGGCUGACCCAUCCUGCAGCCAUCAACAGCCCUCGGAGCUAUCCCCUAGUGUUCAAUCAGCCCUCGGCUAAUUAAACCAGGCCCUUCGACAAUUGUUGCAGCCACCAACAGCCUUGUGCUCUUCGUGGCACUGCUCUGACAGUUCGUUCAGGCUGUCCUUUGCCCUUUGUUAACUCUUUCCUUGCAUCCUCGUAAUGUGUUAGAGCCCUAGUGCUCUCAUUUUUAUCUUUUUGUUUCUCUGUUUGGCCAUCAGUGGUUCCUUGGUGGUCCCCUCUCUAGCUGUUUCGGUGUGUGCACAGUGAUUAAGGAUUCAUGGUUCUCCUGUUCCCAAAUUCUCGGUGACCAUUGAGUUUCUUCGACUUCGAUUGCUCUCAUCCCUCAUUCGGAUCUUUCCUUAUCACAACACACGCCUGCCCAUCGUAUCACUAGUGUGCUGUUAAAUAGAAAUAAUUUUCUAAUUUUGGUCUAGUAUCGUGUCGUCUCCUUUCUUGGCAGAAAGGGUAGGAAAGUGAUGGACUCUAGGUCCAACCGCCCCAAGGUCCAACCCACUUUUUGAUCCUACAUACCAAGUGGGGAUAUUGACACCGUACAGCUUAGGGGGCUGUUCAACCUCUAUGGAGGACAAGAUUUAUACAUGUCACAUCGAUAUGAUAAUGUUCUAGUUUUGUGGACAUGCUCUGAGUCAGCAUGUUGCACAUGCUCACCAUGAUUCACAAAUUUCUAAAGUUGUUACGGGAGCAUUUCACCCACCAAUGCAGCCUCAAAGGAACCUUAAUUGGGACUCCUAGUCGCUGACUAGUUUGGUUCCUUUGUCUCGUUGGGAGACAUUGGUACAAUAGGAGCCCUUUAUGAGUGAUCAUCUCGCUCUGGCAGCUACCCUUUGUUUCAUCAGCGUCUUGCUUGUCAGCAACAUACCAAUUUUAUAAAUUGGUUUAAAGUUUGAGUAUGAAUCUCUUUGUAUUCAGACAUUAAACACCUCUCCCUUAACAUCCUUAUAUGAGGCUUCUGCUAUUAUUGAUGGAGACGAGCGUCGUCGUCGGCUGAUUUAGGCCUUGCCUGCUAUCUCCUCUGGGCCAUCUCCUAUUUCUAAUCAAAUGGCUUUUGCAGUUUCUUCUGGCUUGGGUUCUCACUCUUUUGGAGGUUUGGCCUAUUUGCUUCUACUGUGGAGAUAUUGGUUAUACAAGAGAGCAGUGUUUUAAACUUCAUCAUGAAUGAAGAGAUAAGUUUUCUAAGCGCAAAGGAAAAGGUCCUCAUCGCACUGCCACCGUUGAGGAUACAUCCUCUAGUCAUGCCCUGAUUCGUCUCAUAUUCAGUCUAAGUUUGGCCAAUUGUAGUCUCAGUUAGGUUCCUUACAUCAACAACACCCCUCAAGGUAUGUAUAUCACAUGCUUUCAUUGCUUUUCAUAUUAUUCAUUCCGAUGUUUGGGGUCCCACCCUGGUUCCUGCUCUGUUUGGACAUUGUUAUUAUGUUACGUUUAUUGAUAAAUUCGUUGUACGUGGGUUUAUUUUCUAAAGAAAAAAUCUGAAGUUUUUAGCACUUUUACUCAUUUCUUGCAAAUAGUUAAAAUUGAAUAUUACAAUACCAACCACUGUCUGUCAUAUUGCUCUAAUAACGGUCGUGAAUAUCUCCAAUGAGUUUUGUUCGAACUCGCCAAACAAGGCAUUCUUUAACACUUACAACUUACUUAUAUCACUAAAACCCUGAACAAAUGGGGUUUGGCGGAAUGCAGCAAAACCACUCCCUCAUGUCCUAUUGUUUUAGAUGUCUCCGUCGUGGGAUGAACUGUGCCCAAAUUAUGUUUGGCAUAUGGCUAUCCUCCAGGUUGCAUUCUUUUUAAUCGUAUUCCUAUAAGCCGAGUCCUUACAAGGGUAAAAAACACAGCGUCAUGCUCUUCAGUCCGACUCUAACCGAUCCUUUUUUUGCAUACUCUCUCGAUUGUUUUGGUGUACCUGUUUUGGCCAGAAUCAAACAUCACUUCUUACUUCGCAAUAAACUUGGAUGAUAAAGCGAUUCGUCGUUGUGUCCUUUUUAGGUCUAUUCUUCAUUCAUGUCUAAAGGACUGCAGGAUGCUUCGGUUUUCACGCGCCUUUCUUUUUUCUUCUUCGUGCUCAUAGGCCCAAAGAUGAAUCAUGCGGGGAGAAGAAUAUGAUCCUGUCAUCACAAAUCGCUUUAUAUCAUCAUCUUUUAGAUGUUACUUUUUGGGAGGAUGGUCCAUUCUUUUGUAGGGUACUCCUUCCUUAUCAAGCUCCGAUGGGACGACGAUUCUUGCCGAUUUAGACUCCUCUCCUCAUAUUCCUUAUUGAAUCCCCUCAGGGGAUAAAUACCACCGAUGCAAUCGGAUUCGGAACUCCCCCCAAAGUCUAUACCACCAUUCACCAGCCUUCGGCACCCUUGCCAGACUCUUCUUUGGAUCUUGUACUAACUUCUGCUCCAUUUAGUUCCCACUUUCGGUUUCACAUCCCCGUUCUUCCUCUCGUAUUUCUCACCCUCCUAAUCAUUUUUGGUUUCUUCUCCUGUAUACUAAACAAUCUCAUUUUUUCCAAGUGUAUGUCUUACAGGGUCUCAUCUCUUCGUUGGAUCAUUCUUUCAUAGUCCAGGUAGCCUUUGUUCUGAUACCUAAUUCAAUGUUUGAGGCCCUCCAUAACCCUUAGUGGGUAAAUGCUAUGUAAGAGGAAAUGGUACUUGGAAGCUUGUGCCUUUACCUCCUGGGGCCAAAUCCGUUGACAGUAAGUGGGUCUUCAAUGUGAAGUUUGAAGCUGAUGGAUCAAUUGAAAGGUACAAAGGCUCGUCUUGUAGUUAAGGGCUUUACUCAGACUCGCCGGAAAAAUAUUUAUCAUGCCGAGCUUGACCUUUAACCUCCUUGGGGCCAUCCGUUGAGUAAGUGGGUUCUCAUGUUAAGUUUGAAGCCUGAUGGAUUAAUUGAAAAGUCCAAAGGCUCAUCU
rnacentral:lncRNA from 1 species